rnacentral:rRNA from 1 species
CACGGGCGGCUGCAGUGGGGAAUAUUGGACAAUGGGGGGAACCCUGAUCCAGCCAUGCCGCGUGUGUGAAGAAGGCCCUCGGGUUGUAAAGCACUUUCAGUGAGGAAGAACGCCUGGUGGUUAAUACCCAUCAGGAAAGACAUCACUCACAGAAGAAGCACCGGCUAACUCCGUGCCAGCAGCCGCGGUAAUACGGAGGGUGCGAGCGUUAAUCGGAAUUACUGGGCGUAAAGCGCGCGUAGGUGGCUUGAUAAGCCGGUUGUGAAAGCCCCGGGCUCAACCUGGGAACGGCAUCCGGAACUGUCAAGCUAGAGUGCAGGAGAGGAAGGUAGAAUUCCCGGUGUAGCGGUGAAAUGCGUAGAGAUCGGGAGGAAUACCAGUGGCGAAGGCGGCCUUCUGGACUGACACUGACACUGAGGUGCGAAAGCGUGGGUAGCAAACAGGAUUAGAUACCCGUGUAGUC